UCAUUAUGUAACUGGUCUAUGUGCGAUGUUAUAGCUCAUAGAGUGAGCCUUUUAGUUCUUUAUUUUUUCAAAACAAAACAAUAUUGUGGUCUUCAUUAUACCUUUAAAAUAUUAGUACUAUUUUGAUAAUUUUUUCACAGAAUUCUGGAAGAAAUCUGAUUAGAAUAGAAUUUGAGUUUAUAUGAAGAAUUUUCAUUGAGAGAAUGUUAAAUUAGGCCAUCCAUGAACAUGGUAUACCAAUUCCACUUUUCUAUUUAUUUAAAUCUUAUGUCCUAUAAUAUAGACAUUACAUUUUCAUGAUGAACAUUUUUUGUUAAGUUAAAUCAGGUAAACUGCUGUGGCCUGAAAGCUAAAAAUGAAUUUUCACAUCUUAAGGGGUUAUAAAAAAAAACAAAACUGUGUAAGAUUAUGUGACUGAGUAUAUACAUCUGCAACAUCUAAAAUAUUUUAAUAUCUGGUCUUUUACAGAAAAAGUUUGUUGACUCCUGGGUUAUUUCUUAGAUAUUUCAGCGUACUCUGCGCUGA